UACGUAGGGCGCAAGCGUUGUCCGGAAUCAUUGGGCGUAAAGCGCGCGUAGGCGGUCCGGUAAGUCCGCUGUGAAAGUCGGGGGGCUCAACCCUCGAAUGCCGGUGGAUACUGUCGGGCUAGAGUCCGGGAAGAGGCGAGUGGAAUUCCUGGUGUAGCGGUGAAAUGCGCAGAUAUCAGGAGGAACACCAAUGGCGAAGGCAGCUCGCUGGGACGGUACUGACGCUGAGGCGCGAAAGCGUGGGGAGCAAACAGG
rnacentral:rRNA from 1 species